rnacentral:misc_RNA from 1 species
GUUCCUGCAAGACUCAGAGCACUCUUUGCACCUUCUUCAUCUGUAAACUCAAUAAAGGCGAAUCGAAGUACAGAAUUGGUGUCACCACAUAUACGACAGUCAACAACCUGUCCGCAAUCAAGAAAAAGUGAUGCGAGCUGCUCUUCAGUCACCUGAUGAUCAAUGUCGGAUACAUAAACCGUCCUCCUUAUAACAUCUUCCCUUUGGGCCAUGCCUGUUCGGGUAUUCAUCCUUCUCCUUCCAUGACCGUAGCCAUUUUUCUUCCUUCUGUUGGAAUUUCCAUUGGCCUCAGUCUGCAUUAGAAAAUUGUUAGCAUCAAAGCCAAAAUACACUGCGCCGGGUGUAUAUGGCACUAGCAUGUUGUUGUUAGCCAUUGAAAGAGGCACAAACUCUUCAGCCAUGG